rnacentral:lncRNA from 1 species
CACGAACUGAGGAAGGGGAAACUACUCCUGUGCAGUCUCCUGCUGCUGCCAGGCUCGCUUCCCUCUUUCGCACUCCAGAAGAGGAGCGAGAGAGAACUGCUGGGAAGUUCGCCCAGCCCGAGGGGUCGGAAAAAAGAAACAAAAAACGAACUCCUCCCCCCAGGACCGACUCAUCUCCUCCGAGGAAAUCGAGGAGACACUCCCCCAGGCGACGAACUCCUCCGCGUGGGAGAUAUUAUACUGGGGAGUCCUCC